rnacentral:rRNA from 1 species
CCAGACUCCUACGGGAGGCAGCAGUGGGGAAUAUUGGGCAAUGGACGCAAGUCUGACCCAGCAACGCCGCGUGAAGGAAGAAGGCUUUCGGGUUGUAAACUUCUUUUAAGGGGGAAGAGUAGAAGACGGUACCCCUUGAAUAAGCCACGGCUAACUACGUGCCAGCAGCCGCGGUAAUACGUAGGUGGCAAGCGUUGUCCGGAUUUACUGGGUGUAAAGGGCGUGCAGCCGGAGAGACAAGUCAGAUGUGACAUCCACGGGCUCAACUCGUGAACUGCAUUUGAAACUGUUUCCCUUGAGUGUCGGAGAGGUAAUCGGAAUUCCUUGUGUAGCGGUGAAAUGCGUAGAUAUAAGGAGGAACACCGGUGGCGAAGGCGGCCUGCUGGACUGCGACUGACGUUGAGGCCC